rnacentral:rRNA from 1 species
UGAGGAAUAUUGGUCAAUGGACGCAAGUCUGAACCAGCCAAGUAGCGUGCAGGAUGACGGCCCUAUGGGUUGUAAACUGCUUUUAUAUGGGGAUAAAGUGGGGAACGUGUUCCCUUUUGCAGGUACCAUAUGAAUAAGGACCGGCUAAUUCCGUGCCAGCAGCCGCGGUAAUACGGAAGGUUCGGGCGUUAUCCGGGUUUAUUGGGUUUAAAGGGAGCGUAGGCCGUUUGGUAAGCGUGUUGUGAAAUGUAGGAGCUCAACUUCUAGAUUGCAGCGCGAACUGUCAGACUUGAGUGCGCACAACGUAGGCGGAAUUCAUGGUGUAGCGGUGAAAUGCUUAGAUAUCAUGAAGAACUCCGAUUGCGAAGGCAGCUUACGGGGGCGCAACUGACGCUGAAGCUCGAAGGUGCGGGUAUCGAACAGG